rnacentral:rRNA from 1 species
UCCUCCCUCUGGCGGCGUGCUUAACACAUGCAAGUCGAACGGAAAGGCCCUGCUUUUGUGGGGUGCUCGAGUGGCGAACGGGUGAGUAACACGUGAGUAACCUGCCAUUGACUUUGGGAUAACUUCAGGAAACUGGGGCUAAUACCGGAUAGGAGCUCCUGCUGCAUGGUGGGGGUUGGAAAGUUUCGGCGGUUGGGGAUGGACUCGCGGCUUAUCAGCUUGUUGGUGGGGUAGUGGCUUACCAAGGCUUUGACGGGUAGCCGGCCUGAGAGGGUGACCGGCCACAUUGGGACUGAGAUACGGCCCAGACUCCUACGGGAGGCAGCAGUGGGGAAUAUUGCACAAUGGGCGGAAGCCUGAUGCAGCAACGCCGCGUGCGGGAUGACGGCCUUCGGGUUGUAAACCGCUUUCGCCUGUGACGAAGCGUGAGUGACGGUAAUGGGUAAAGAAGCACCGGCUAACUACGUG